AUCCUGGCUCAGGAUGAACGCUGGCGGCGUGCCUAACACAUGCAAGUCGAACGAACCUUGGGGAACAGAUUACUUCGGUUUGAAGUUCCCCGCUGGUUAGUGGCGGACGGGUGAGUAACACGUGGGUAACCUGCCUUAUAGUGGGGGAUAGCCUUUCGAAAGGAAGAUUAAUACCGCAUAAUAUUGUAAUUUCGCAUGAAACAACAAUUAAAGAUUUAUCGCUAUAAGAUGGACCCGCGGCGCAUUAGCUAGUUGGUGGGGCAACGGCCUACCAAGGCGACGAUCAGUAGCCGGUCUGAGAGGAUGAACGGCCACAUUGGAACUGAGACACGGUCCAGACUCCUACGGGAGGCAGCAGUGGGGAAUCUUCCGCAAUGGGCGAAAGCCUGACGGAGCAACGCCGCGUGAGUGAAGAAGGCCUUCGGGUCGUAAAGCUCUGUUGAAGGGGACGAAUGUACAGCUUAUCAACAACGAGCUGUAAUGACGGUACCUUUCGAGGAAGCCACGGCUAACUACGUG
rnacentral:rRNA from 1 species